AUAACUUAGGGGUUAUAGAGAAAGUAGCACUAACGGAAUAGCGUGGGAUAUGAGCUGUUUUGAAUGAGAAGACUAGUUGUUAAAAAAGGGUAAUCCCUCAAAAAAACAAGAGUGCACGCCUCUUGGCUGUCAUGGGACCCAACUUCACUACCUCUUUUUGUAUCCUUGUCAUGUUCAAUCCUUUUGUGAGUUUACCUUUUUCCCUCAUGUGUACAAUUUUAUCACUACCUAAUGCUAUUAAGCACACCACACCUUAUUCCCCCCCUUUUGUGAGAAGAAGACUGAGACAGACAACUUUGUGUUGAUGAUGAGGGGGACCCUUUUCAUUCACUUCAUGGAUAUGGUUAUUGGUGCAGUUAUGUAACUCUGCCUUGUUUUGGAAAAGC
rnacentral:lncRNA from 1 species